UACAGAGGUCUCAAGCGUUGUUCGGAUUCAUUGGGCGUAAAGGGUGCGUAGGCGGCGCGGUAAGUCGGGUGUGAAAUCUCGGAGCUUAACUCCGAAACUGCAUUCGAUACUGCCGUGCUUGGAGGACUGGAGAGGAGACUGGAAUUUACGGUGUAGCGGUGAAAUGCGUAGAUAUCGAUAAGGAAGACCAGUGGCGAAGGCGG
rnacentral:rRNA from 1 species